GUUGUAUGGUUAAGUGACUAAGCGUACACGGUGGAUGCCUUGGCAGUCAGAGGCGAUGAAAGACGUAGUAACUUGCGAUAAGCCCAGAUUAGGUAGUAACAACCGUUUGAGUCUGGGAUGUCUGAAUGGGGAAACCCACGUGCAUAAGCACGUAUCAUUAACUGAAUACAUAGGUUAAUGAGGCAAACCGGGGGAACUGAAACAUCUAAGUACCCCGAGGAAAAGAAAUCAACCGAGAUUCCGAAAGUAGCGGCGAGCGAAAUUGGAUUAGCCCUUAAGCUUUACACGCGUUAGACGAACAGCCUGGAAAGGCCGACAAUAAAGGGUGAUAGUCCCGUAGUCGACGACGUGUGUUCAGUGAAAUCGAGUAGGACGGGACACGUGAUAUCCUGUCUGAAUAUGGGGGGACCAUCCUCCAAGGCUAAAUACUACUGACUGACCGAUAG
rnacentral:rRNA from 1 species